rnacentral:lncRNA from 1 species
UCUCCAUGAUAAAAAAGUAGGAAUAAAUUCUUUUGAAAUUUGUAAUGAAAAUAUGAAUGACUGAAUGUAAAGCAGUUAUCAUACAUGAUCAUCUUUUUUAUGAUAGCUAGGUUUUACUUGAUAUCAGAUUAUCUCCCCUUCACAUCUGGCCCAAGACCACAAUUAAUGACCCCACUUUUCGUUGUCCAUGAAUAUAGUUCCCUUUAAUUAUAGUGUAUUUUUUCUUUAUUUUUUUUCUUUCCCUUUCUCAUACAUUUCUUAGUUUUUCUGGGGUGGAAAUGAAAGAAGAGAGCUGAAAUAAACUUUUGGAUGUUUUAUUUUAACUGAUUUUGAUAAGGAAAGAGUGAUUCGGCCAGGUGCAAAAAGGUAGUAUUUACACUUUUCGGAACAUCUCUUGACUUGCCUAUAGGGGUAUGGAUGUGUAUUGGCCAAAUUUGUAUGAUGUAAACAUGCAAUUUUUCUGAAAAUUGCAUAUAUUUUUGGACUUGAACUGUACAUUGCACACACCAAAAUUUAGACAAAAAGAAUAGGCAAAUUUUUUUUAAUGCGACAAAACGUUAUAAAGAACUGAUAGAGGAAUUAAUUGUAGUCUCGGGCCUAAUCUUGUUCAGGGCAAGGGAGACAAAUCAGUAAAUAUAGAUACACUUCUAAAGUAAAGGUACAACAUUACAACAUUUUACAUUGACAUAUAUUUAGGAUAGAUAUAUAGAUAUCUAGGGGCAUUUAAAAUUAGAUACAUGUAUAAUAAAUAAAUUUAAAUUGUUUGUUG